AACGGCUAUACCAUGCUGAAUAUACCGGUUCUCGUUAGAUCACCGAAGUCAAAUGGGGUGUGACCACCUGGUGGGUGACCACCUGGGAACACCGCGUGCCGU